rnacentral:lncRNA from 1 species
GUCAAUGUUGAAAAUGGGCAACACAUGAUGGUGCGUUCUCAUGGAUGCAUCCAUGUAACCUGCAGGUAUAAUCAUCAAAAUCCGAAAUCGCAUAUCUUCUAGCUUUUAUAAUCCUCUUUUGAACUUUGGAAUUUUGAUAAUGUUUUAAUCUAAUUAAACAUUUGUAAUUUUCAUAGUUGAUGGAUAGAUCUGGGUAUUCGUUUUGCUACACAUGUGGAGCUCAAUGGAAGGAAUGAGGUUGCCUUCAUCAAGGGUACCUACGAAGGGCAGAUGUAUACAGCGGAGUUUUUACUAUGGUUACACUAGCGGUAAGAGAUG